rnacentral:misc_RNA from 1 species
UCCGGCUUAUCACCGGCAGUCCCACUAGAGUGCCCAACUUAAUGAUGUCAAACCCAGGUAAGGUUCUUCGCGUUGCAUCGAAUCGAACCACAUGCUCCACCGCUUGUGCGGGCCCCCGUCAAUUCCUUUGAGUUUUAAUCUUGCGACCGUACUUCCCAGGCGGGACACUUAAUGCGUUAGCGGCGGCACCGAGGGAGUGGUUACCCCCGACACCUAGUGCCCAUCGUUUACGGCGUGGACUAC